GCCGGGCAUGGUGGCAUGUGCCUGUAGUGCCAGCUACUCAGGAGGCUAAGGCAGGAGGAUCACUUGAGUCCAAGAGUUCUGGGUUGUAAUGCACUAUGUCUAUCAGGUGUUUGCACUAAGUUCAGCAUCAACAUAGUGACCUCCCGGGAGUGGGAGGUUGCCUAUGAACCAGCCCAGGUUGGAAAUGGAGAAGUUCAAAACUCCCAUGCUGAUCGGUAUUGGGACUGUACCUGUGAAUAGCCACUGCACUCCAGACUGGGCAACACAGCGAGACCCUGUCCCUA
ensembl:misc_RNA Metazoa_SRP Metazoan signal recognition particle RNA